CUAGCGGGGUGCUGUGAGCAUCGGGGUUUGCUUUCAGUUUUUAGCAUCGGCUCCAAUAGAUCUGCCUGGCCUUGCUCUGGAAGGAACAAGCUGCUCCCCGCAGCAGCGGGUGGCCGGAAGGGCUUUGCAUCCUCGACAUCAUGCAUUGAGCAGAAAGCUGAGUGCACGCUGCCCUUAUCUCAUCCGUUAAAUGCGCAAGUGAAUUGACCCGCUGCCCAGCUGCAAAGCGCUGCCCUGUGGCUGGGAGGAGGCAGCAGCCCUUUGCUGGGUCAGCUCCUUAUCUCCACCCACCAACCACGCGUUUGGACAACCCGGUACUUUUCAGCACCAACUCAUCGGGUGGAUGUAAGCCAGAACGGUGACUGCACAUUACCUAACGAUGCAAAGCACUUCCCACCUCCCGGUUGUAUCACGGGCCUUUCCCAGGAGCCAGGGCUCCCCUGUCAAUCAGAAGAUGUGUGAUCAGGGUCCAAAUCUGCUUUCCAAAAGCUCUUCAACUGAACAGCUGAGCUCAGUCAGCCCACAAGACACAGAGCCCAAACUUUGGGUCAAUAACAGAAAACCACGUGGAUUUUUUUUCUGGGGCAAAAGAAGACCUCUGAUACCUGCAUUCUGUGUUCAAAGCUUUUGCAACAACAACAACAAUAAAAAUCUAUCAGCAGUCACUGACAGAUGUGUGUAUGCAUAUCCAGGCUCUGCCCAUUGCAUUCUACUGAAGAUCACCAGGACAAAGGGCAGUGAGCUCUGUGUUCAGGGAGCACAGUAUGGACACAGAACCGCCCGCAUUCUGUCCGACCUGCUGGCUGUGCUGUAGCUGUUGCCACGCAGUAACUCUCACUGCAUACACUCACACACAAGCUGUGACUGCUUCCUUUCCCGUCAGUGAUGGAGCGGCUCUGGAGGAGCAGAUUCUCAGUGGGAGAUGCACCCUUGGGCCAAAGAAUUAUUAAAUCAUCAGCAUCAAGAAACCUCCUGCAAUGGGACCUGACAGCUGUACGGUACUAGGCUGAGGCUGUGUUUAUUCUGGAGUAUUUGCCUGGCUUACACAGAGCUCUUUUUUUUUCUCUCUGAGUAAUUUCCCAUCAUUGCUACCACAUGGGUUCAUUUCCAUGGCAGAGGAAGAGAGGAGGCACCGGAGCUGUCAAUAGCUGAAUCAGUCCCACCGUCCCAGCAGGAGCUGGGGCUGCCGCUCUCCUCCCCGCAGGGUACAAGCAGGCAGACAGCGCAAAAUCCUGCCUGCACCCGAGUGAACUCAAGCACAGAAGAACUGCAAAACUACUGCAGGGGGUCCGGAAAGUCCUCCCCUGACCACACUCUAUGUGUUGUAACCCUAAUGGGUGCUCAGCACUCCACUGAGUCACCCAUGGCUCCGUGCACGGUCCCACCACCAGCUCAGGGUCACAGAAUCAUAGCACCAUCGAGGCUGGAAAAGACCUCUAAGAUCCUCCAGCCCAGCCCACCCCCGCCGUGCCCACUGAGCACAUCCCUCAGAGCCACAUCUCCACCGUUCCUCACCACUUCUGGGGACGGUUCCCCCCCCCCCCACCUCCCCGGGCAGCCCGUGCCAGUGCCUGUGCACACCCUGCAGAGCUUUAAACCUUGUUGGACAGAGAGAGGGAGGAACACAGCACUCAUUUUGCAAAUGGGAGAUUCAAGGCAUGGAAAUAUUAAAUAACCUGCCAGAGCACACUGGGAAGCUGAGCUACACUGCCGGAGGGCCUGCCUCACAUUCUGAGAGAAACGAUCUCUAUUCCCACGGAACAGAACAGGCUUACUGCUAGCUGGGGAAGUACAGAUGCCUAUAAUCUGCUUUGCAAAGAAAAUGGGUUUAAACAAUCAGAAAACAGCACCAGGAUCUGAGAGUGCACUGUGAAUCUAAAACACACACUAGCCUGGAGGUGCAGCAUUCUGCCUCUACGCAACUCAGUGCUCUGUUGUCUCCAGUUUCAGGGAGUUGGAAGUCACUGUCAAAACACACCAGGUUGGCCCAGGAGAACUCCUUCACCCCAAGUCCUACCUUUCCCAAGCUGGAGAGGCACAGGCUGUGUUCCCUGAUUAAGCUGACAUAGGCUUGAGGUAGUGCAAAGCUGUGUCACAACAAAGCAUGGCAUGCUGUGGUGUUCACAGCCCCAUCUUACCUUAGACUAAUGGUAAUACUGAGACGUGGGAUGCACUGGCACUUGGCUGCUCUUAAGCUGAAUCAACUCUCUCGUUAACAGUCAGGGGAACUCUAAAACCUCAUCGUUCUGCCUUGAAGUUUCAGGAUUGUUUCCAUUAGCUUGCUGAGAAGACCAGAAAGGCACAUGGGAACCUACAGACACAAAACUUGUGGUCAGUUUUGGCUCUCAUCUUUUUAUUGUGUUCGAUUUCAAAGGAGCCCAAGGAACCUGGCAACCAUUAAGGAGUUGGUAAUACAGCUGUAAAUUACAUGGCAGCGUCCUGAAAAGAGCCAGUUUUCAGCAUUUGGAAAGAAGAAAGUUAAAUUGCAUUUACUGUAUAAGCUGUGGCAAACACUCAGCCCUUCCGAUCGAUGGGAUGAAGAUGGGAACAGCUUAGGUUAGGAUAUUUUUAGAUGCUGGGAGUAAUCCUGUAUUAUUUAUUAUCAGAGAUGGUUUGGUCCAGCCACUGAUAAUGACAGUGCUGCAGUCACUGAGUCUCU
ensembl:lncRNA